rnacentral:lncRNA from 1 species
AUGGUUCCCUACAGAAACAGGCCAUCCCCAGUGCAAGCUCCAGUAGGAUCAGGGAGGAAGAGGCAAGGAGGGGGCCGCCCCAUUUCCAAUCACCCAACUUUGCAGCAUUUUCAACACUUCCGAAGGAAGGCUGUUCACGCUGGGCUGGCCGAGACUGGUCGCUGCAGAUUCAGCAGCAAGCAGCUCAGGUUUCUCAGGAAGAGAAAUGUCCAAGCACACAUCUGUCCACACAGAGAUUCUGCACAGCUCGAAUAUCUGAAACCGGUGUACUGCAGAUGGCUGGGGUUCAUUUUUCUGAGCACACGAUCUCAGGAUCACUUCUGGGUCACCCUGGUCACAUGAGAUGGUCUUCCUGCGUGCCCAGGGGCAGGGAGGUAGGAGCACAUGCCUUAAAUUGCAGGAUUAGGGCUUAACAUGGUGAUCGCAGCCCACUCGUGCUGACAGAGCCUCGUACUAGACACAAGCUUGAUGGGGCAGCGUCAACAGUGCCUGCAGACCGCCAAGUCACACAGUUUCCACCAGCUGGCCUUUCAUUCAAAUCCCCCACCCCUCCAUGUGCAAGAUUCAGCACGUCUGGCUAAUGGUAGGGAAGAAACAGGGGCCACAAGACACCCAACCUGCUUAGUCCCCUCAAAGAGGGCGAGAGAAGACAAAGACUGUAACAGGCUGCCGAAAGGAAGAACAUAGGGAGUCCACCCGUCAAGUGUCCUUUAUUCUAAAGAGGUUGUUCCUCUUCAUCCUGAGUUACCAGUCUUUCCGGCCCGUCUGCCAAUGCAGUCUUUCCAGCAGGCCCAAGAAGAAGGAAGUCAACUGGGAUACUCC